AUAGAUCCUGAAACCGCAUGCUUACAAAAAGUAGGAGCCUCGAAAGGGGUGACUGCGUACCUUUUGUAUAAUGGGUCAGCGACUUACAUUCAGUGGCAAGGUUAACCGAAUAGGGAAGCCGUAGAGAAAUCGAGUCCGAAUAGGGCGAUCAGUCGCUGGGUGUAGACCCGAAACCAAGUGAUCUAUCCAUGGGCAGGAUGAAGGUGCCGUAACAGGUACUGGAGGUCCGAACCGACUAAUGUUGCAAAAUUAGCGGAUGACCUGUGGAUAGGGGUGAAAGGCUAAACAAACUUGGAAAUAGCUGGUUCUCUCCGAAAACUAUUUAGGUAGUGCCUCAAGUAUUACCAUCGGGGGUAGAGCACUGUUUUGGCUAGGGGGUCAUGGCGACUUACCAAACCAAGGCAAACUCCGAAUACCGAUGAGUACAGCUUGGGAGACAGAGCACCGGGUGCUAACGUCCGGACUCAAGAGGGAAACAACCCAGACCGCCAGCUAAGGUCCCUAAAAUUGGCUAAGUGGGAAACGAAGUGGGAAGGCUAAAACAGUCAGGAUGUUGGCUUAGAAGCAGCCAUCAUUUAAAGAAAGCGUAAUAGCUCACUGAUCGAGUCGUCCUGCGCGGAAGAUGUAACGGGGCUAAGCCAGUUACCGAAGCUGCGGAUUUGCAUGUUUAUUGCAAGUGGUAGGAGAGCGUUCUGUAGGCCUGUGAAGGUGGUGGUGUAAACCCUGCUGGAGGUAUCAGAAGUGCGAAUGCUGACAUGAGUAGCGUUAAAGGGGGUGAAAAGCCCCCUCGCCGUAAGCGCAAGGUUUUCUACGCAACGUUCAUCGGCGUAGAGUGAGUCGGCCCCUAAGGCGAGGCAGAGAUGCGUAGCUGAUGGGAAACAGGUCAAUAUUCCUGUACCGAUGACAAGUGCGAUGUGGGGACGGAGAAGGUUAGCUCAGCCAACUGUUGGAUAUGUUGGUUCAAGCCUGUAGUCGUGCUCGGUAGGCAAAUCCGCCGGGCUUAGAUGAGGGGUGAUAACGAGGGUGCUUGCACCUGAAGUGAGUGAUACCCUGCUUCCAGGAAAAGCCACUAAGCUUCAGCUUGUCAUUGACCGUACCGCAAACCGACACUGGUGCGCGAGAUGAGUAUUCUAAGGCGCUUGAGAGAACUCAGGAGAAGGAACUCGGCAAAUUGAUACCGUAACUUCGGGAGAAGGUAUGCCCCAAGUAGGUGAACUCGAACAGAGGGAGCCCAACGGGGUUGCAAAAAAUCGGUGGCUGCGACUGUUUAAUAAAAACACAGCACUCUGCAAACACGAAAGUGGACGUAUAGGGUGUGACGCCUGCCCGGUGCUGGAAGAUUAAAUGAUGGGGUGCAAGCUCUUGAUUGAAGUCCCAGUAAACGGCGGCCGUAACUAUAACGGUCCUAAGGUAGCGAAAUUCCUUGUCGGGUAAGUUCCGACCUGCACGAAUGGCGUAACGAUGGCCACACUGUCUCCUCCUGAGACUCAGCGAAGUUGAAAUGUUUGUGAUGAUGCAAUCUCCCCGCGGAAAGACGGAAAGACCCCAUGAACCUUUACUGUAGCUUUGUAUUGGACUUUGAACAGAUCUGUGUAGGAUAGGUGGGAGGCUUUGAAGUGAGGACGCUAGUUCUCAUGGAGCCGACGUUGAAAUACCACCCUGGUGUGUUUGAGGUUCUAACCUAGGUCCAUUAUCUGGAUCGGGGACAGUGCAUGGUAGGCAGUUUGACUGGGGCGGUCUCCUCCCAAAGCGUAACGGAGGAGUUCGAAGGUACGCUAGUUACGGUCGGACAUCGUGAUAAUAGUGCAAUGGCAUAAGCGUGCUUAACUGCGAGACUGACAAGUCGAGCAGAUACGAAAGUAGGACAUAGUGAUCCGGUGGUUCUGUAUGGAAGGGCCAUCGCUCAACGGAUAAAAGGUACUCUGGGGAUAACAGGCUGAUACCGCCCAAGAGUUCAUAUCGACGGCGGUGUUUGGCACCUCGAUGUCGGCUCAUCUCAUCCUGGGGCUGUAGCCGGUCCCAAGGGUAUGGCUGUUCGCCAUUUAAAGAGGUACGUGAGCUGGGUUUAAAACGUCGUGAGACAGUUUGGUCCCUAUCUUCCGUGGGCGCUG
rnacentral:rRNA from 1 species